UCUCUGGUUGUCCAGUGGUUAGGAUUCGCCACUUUCACUGCUGAGGGCACAGGUUCAAUCCCUGGUCUGGGAA
rfam:Ovis aries breed Texel chromosome 7, whole genome shotgun sequence.